rnacentral:rRNA from 1 species
GCAUGGUCUGGUCGUGGAAAGAAUUUUGGUUGGGGAUGGACUCGCGGCCUAUCAGCUUGUUGGUGAGGUAAUGGCUCACCAAGGCGACGACGGGUAGCCGGCCUGAGAGGGUGACCGGCCACACUGGGACUGAGACACGGCCCAGACUCCUACGGGAGGCAGCAGUGGGGAAUAUUGCACAAUGGGCGCAAGCCUGAUGCAGCAACGCCGCGUGAGGGAUGACGGCCUUCGGGUUGUAAACCUCUUUUAGUAGGGAAGAAGCGAAAGUGACGGUACCUGCAGAAAAAGCACCGGCUAACUACGUGCCAGCAGCCGCGGUAAUACGUAGGGUGCAAGCGUUGUCCGGAAUUAUUGGGCGUAAAGAGCUCGUAGGCGGUUUGUCGCGUCUGCUGUGAAAUCCCGAGGCUCAACCUCGGGCUUGCAGUGGGUACGGGCAGACUAGAGUGCGGUAGGGGAGAUUGGAAUUCCUGGUGUAGCGGUGGAAUGCGCAGAUAUCAGGAGGAACACCGAUGGCGAAGGCAGAUCUCUGGGCCGUUACUGACGCUGAGGAGCGAAAGCGUGGGGAGCGAACAGGAUUAGAUACCCUGGUAGUCCACGCCGUAAACGUUGGGCGCUAGAUGUAGGGACCUUUCCACGGUUUCUGUGUCGUAGCU